GACAAACGCUGGCGGCGUGCCUAACACAUGCAAGUCGAGCGCGAAAGGGACCUUCGGGUCCCCUGAGAGCGGCGAACGGGUGAGUAACACGUGGGCAACCUGCCUCAAGGACUGGGAUAACUCCGGGAAACCGGGGCUAAUACCGGGCGAUGUCGUCUGGCGCAAGCCGGCCGACCAAAUGGUAGCUUCGGCCUCCGCCUUGAGAUGGGCCCGCGUCCUAUCAGCUUGUUGGUGAGGUAAUGGCUCACCAAGGCUACGACGGGUAGCUGGUCUGAGAGGAUGAUCAGCCACACUGGGACUGAGAUACGGCCCAGACUCCUACGGGAGGCAGCAGGGGGGAAUUUUGCGCAAUGGGCGAAAGCCUGACGCAGCAACGCCGCGUGAGCGAAGAAGGCCUUCGGGUUGUAAAGCUCUGUCAGGGGGAAAGAAGGCACCUGGGUUAAUAGCCCAAGGGCUGACGGUACCCCCAAAGGAAGCCACGGCUAACUACGUGCCAGCCGCCGCCGUAAAAC
rnacentral:rRNA from 1 species